GGGAGACAGACAGAGGGCCGGAGAGACAGGCAGACAGAGAAAGGGAGACAGACAUGAAGUUGGGCAGAGGCUGACGAAGGAGGAACGAGCAGCCAUGGAGGGAGGCAGGGAGGGAGGGAGACAGCAGCAGACGCAGAGCGAGGAAGACAAAGAGAAGACACAGAGAGAAAAUAAGAAACAGAAACAAAAACAGGAGAAACAAAGCAGGAGACAGAGGUCAGAGGAGAGGAGAGAGAACUGGAAAAAUCUGCUCUUGGGGGACAAAUGAGCCAGCCCACAUGUAUCUGGCACCUACCAGUAAUCACCAGAUUCAACAGGAGCAGAAAGAUACUGAUCAGAGGUGGGUAACCCGGAAAUCGCAUAAAGAGAAGGCAGAGUGACAGAGAAGCGCCAAACUCACCAUGGAAAACCUGACCUUGUCAGGGCAUCAAGGGAGAUUCCUGCAGAAGCAAUGACACAGCUCUACGUGCAAAAGGAAAGGCUCUCUGAAGUGCGCUGCUGAGCAGGGGGGAAAGGAGUCUACAGAACAGUCAAGAUGGCAGCAGCUAGUUAUGAAGACCCGUGGGCUGUGCUCACCCCUGGCUCACCUCAGGGAAGACAAACCCAAACUGUUAACAGGUAUGCCUCUGGGGAGGAAAGUUAGGGUCCCUGGGAUGCCCUUUAGCUCAGGUAGCACCUGAUGCGAGUGGGGGUGGUCGGUCAAGGGCCCCAGCCCUCGGCUAACGGAGCAUGACCUGCGCAAGCUGUGGCUAAAGCCCUCGGCUAACAGAGCUGUGACCCGCGCCGUAAACACUUAAUGAGGUGGGUUCCUCAUUAAGUGACUCUCCCUGCUUGAGAUUUUCCACUUUGUAAUAAAAGUGAGAGAUAAAACUGCACACUGGGAGGGAAUACUUAUAAUAUGUACAACUAAAAAUAAACAUUAAGAACUGCUCCUCACCAAGAAGAAAAAAUAUUAACACAACCCAGCAGAAAAUGGGCAAAGGCUACGAGAAGCACGACACACAAGUGGAGCCAAAAUGUCACCUCACCUGUGACCAGAGAAGCUAAAACCAAACCCUCCUCCCCCGGACUCCCCUCUCCCCAAGCGCGGAGCCCAAGGGGUCUACACAGGUCGUACUUUAUAACACGGAAACUCAGUAAAGUUCAAGACAGGGAACCCUUCAAUGCAGAAGAGCGCUUGCUGGUAUGGUGGGCCUGGGAAGUGAUGGAAACGCUACUUGUGUCAGAGAGACACAAGCAGCUCGCGUGUGUGUGUCACAGCAGAAAACACACCCCGCAACCGCUCUGUGAUCAGCAAAGCCAGCGAGGAUAGGAUUGAGGCUCCACCCCAGGCACCAGCGGGGUGUGCUGAGAACAGAGGAAGCCGGCAGGUGGCACUGCAAAGACCCCAACAUCACCCACCUUACCCCCAAGCAAACUUUAGAUGGCGAGAACUUCCACUAAGAUCCAGCGUUUUCAAGAAAUAAGCAAAACGGAGAGAAGGAAGACUCCACACAGGAAGAGACACCAGAUAGUCAUAGAGAUAGAGACAGAAAGCAGAGCGGUGGGUGCGGGG